rnacentral:rRNA from 1 species
UACGUAGGUGGCAAGCGUUGUCCGGAAUUAUUGGGCGUAAAGCGCGCGCAGGCGGUCCUUUAAGUCUGAUGUGAAAGCCCACGGCUCAACCGUGGAGGGUCAUUGGAAACUGGGGACUUGAGUGCAGGAGAGAAGAGUGGAAUUCCACGUGUAGCGGUGAAAUGCGUAGAGAUGUGGAGGAACACCAGUGGCGAAGGCGACU